rnacentral:rRNA from 1 species
CGGACGGGUGAGUAACGCGUGGGUAACCUGCCUUGUACUGGGGGACAACAGUUAGAAACGACUGCUAAUACCGCAUAAGCGCACAGUAUCGCAUGAUACAGUGUGAAAAGCUCCGGUGGUACAAGAUGGACCCGCGUCUGAUUAGCUAGUUGGUAAGGUAACGGCUUACCAAGGCGACGAUCAGUAGCCGACCUGAGAGGGUGACCGGCCACAUUGGGACUGAGACACGGCCCAA